rnacentral:rRNA from 1 species
AUCAAAACAGCGGACUUCGGUCCUUGCUGCACCCUUGUCUUUUGCGUACCGUAUGUUUCCUCGGCGGGCUUGCCUGCCGGUUGGACAUUAUCAAACCUUUUUGUAGUUGCAAUCAGCGUCAGAAAAUAAACAAUAAUUACAACUUUCAACAACGGAUCUCUUGGUUCUGGCAUCGAUGAAGAACGCAGCGAAAUGCGAAAAGUAGUGUGAAUUGCAGAAUUCAGUGAAUCAUCGAAUCUUUGAACGCACAUUGCGCCCCUUGGUAUUCCAUGGGGCAUGCCUGUUCGAGCGUCAUUUUGUACCCUCAAGCACUGCUUGGUGUUGGGCGUUUGUCCUGCAAAGGACUCGCCUGAAAGCGAUUGGCGGCCAACGUACUGGUGGUAGAGCGCAGCACAAUUUGCGUCUCUCCCUUCUACUUCGGCGUCCAUGAAGCCUUUUUUCAACGUUUGACCUCGGAUCAGGUAGGGAUA